UAACUCGCUGAUUAACCCCGUUA
rnacentral:siRNA from 1 species